rnacentral:rRNA from 1 species
UUAGAGUUUAUCCUGGCUCAGAUUAACGCUGCGGCAUCCUACACAUGCAAGUCGAACGGCAGCGCGGGCUUCGGCCUGCGGCGAGUGCGAACGGGUGAGUAACAUAUCGGAACGUGCCCAGGAGUGGGGGAUAGCCCGGCGAAAGCCGGAUUAAUACCGCAUACGACCUGAGGGUGAAAGUGGGGGACCGCAAGGCCUCACGCCCCUGGAGCGGCCGAUAUCUGAUUAGCUAGUUGGUGGGGUAAAGGCUCACCAAGGCGACGAUCAGUAGCUGGUCUGAGAGGACGACCAGCCACACUGGGACUGAGACACGGCCCAGACUCCUACGGGAGGCAGCAGUGGGGAAUUUUGGACAAUGGGCGCAAGCCUGAUCCAGCCAUGCCGCGUGCGGGAAGAAGGCCUUCGGGUUGUAAACCGCUUUUGUCGGGGAAGAAAUGCUCCGGGCUAAUAUCCUGGGGAGAUGACGUACCCGAAGAUGGCACCGGCAA